GUAGUAGUGUGCAGCUGUCUGAGGAACUGUUGGAGCGCCAGGCUGGAUCCACUAAGCACGAUCUCCCCCUUGCAGGCUUUCCCUUUGUACAAGCCCAUAUUCCCAGCAGACGUGACGUUGUGGGCCAACUCGAGGAGUGGAACAUAAGUGGCAGGAUCCAGGGGAACUCCUCUGCAUUGGGAGCCUGGUGGCCCAGGGUUAACAAUGGCUUGAC